GAAAUAAGCAUAUGCCUGGGCAGGGAACAGCCAGAGGAAAUUCCAGUGGAAGUCCACAGUGGUCAUGAUGUGAAAAUCAGUAAUCCAACCAGAAUACAGAGGCAAAAGACUAACCAAAUCAUGUAGUAGCU
rnacentral:ncRNA from 1 species